UACGGGGGGAGCAAGCGUUGUUCGGAUUUACUGGGCGUAAAGCGCGCGUAGGCGGUCUCUUAAGUCCGGGGUGAAAGGUUCAGCGCUCAACGCGAACAGUGCCCUGGAGACUGGGGGACUUGAGUGUGGGAGGGGGCAGUGGAAUUCCUGGUGUAGCGGUGAAAUGCGUAGAUAUCAGGAGGAACACCGAUGGCGAAGGCAGCUGCCUGGCCUAACACUGACGCUGAGGUGCGAAAGCGUGGGGAGCGAACGGG
rnacentral:rRNA from 1 species